GACGAACGCUGGCGGCGUGCUUAACACAUGCAAGUCGAACGGAAAGGCCCUGCUUUUGUGGGGUGCUCGAGUGGCGAACGGGUGAGUAACACGUGAGUAACCUGCCCUUGACUUUGGGAUAACUUCAGGAAACUGGGGCUAAUACCGGAUAGGAGCUCCUGCUGCAUGGUGGGGGUUGGAAAGUUUCGGCGGUUGGGGAUGGACUCGCGGCUUAUCAGCUUGUUGGUGGGGUAGUGGCUUACCAAGGCUUUGACGGGUAGCCGGCCUGAGAGGGUGACCGGCCACAUUGGGACUGAGAUACGGCCCAGACUCCUACGGGAGGCAGCAGUGGGGAAUAUUGCACAAUGGGCGGAAGCCUGAUGCAGCAACGCCGCGUGCGGGAUGACGGCCUUCGGGUUGUAAACCGCUUUCGCCUGUGACGAAGCGUGAGUGACGGUAAUGGGUAAAGAAGCACCGGCUAACUACGUGCCAGCAGCCGCGGUGAUACGUAGGGUGCGAGCGUUGUCCGGAUUUAUUGGGCGUAAAGGGCUCGUAGGUGGUUGAUCGCGUCGGAAGUGUAAUCUUGGGGCUUAACCCUGAGCGUGCUUUCGAUACGGGUUGACUUGAGGAAGGUAGGGGAGAAUGGAAUUCCUGGUGGAGCGGUGGAAUGCGCAGAUAUCAGGAGGAACACCAGUGGCGAAGGCGGUUCUCUGGGCCUUUCCUGACGCUGAGGAGCGAAAGCGUGGGGAGCGAACAGGCUUAGAUACCCUGGUAGUCCACGCUGUAAACGGUGGGUACUAGGUGUGGGGUCCAUUCCACGGGUUCCGUGCCGUAGCUAACGCUUUAAGUACCCCGCCUGGGGAGUACGGCCGCAAGGCUAAAACUCAAAGGAAUUGACGGGGCCCCGCACAAGCGGCGGAGCAUGCGGAUUAAUUCGAUGCAACGCGUAGAACCUUACCUGGGUUUGACAUGGAUCGGGAGCGCUCAGAGAUGGGUGUGCCUCUUUUGGGGUCGGUUCACAGGUGGUGCAUGGCUGUCGUCAGCUCGUGUCGUGAGAUGUUGGGUUAAGUCCCGCAACGAGCGCAACCCUUGUUCACUGUUGCCAGCACGUUAUGGUGGGGACUCAGUGGAGACCGCCGGGGUCAACUCGGAGGAAGGUGGGGAUGACGUCAAGUCAUCAUGCCCCUUAUGUCCAGGGCUUCACGCAUGCUACAAUGGCUGGUACAGAGAGUGGCGAGCCUGUGAGGGUGAGCGAAUCUCGGAAAGCCGGUCUCAGUUCGGAUUGGGGUCUGCAACUUGACCUCAUGAAGUCGGAGUCGCUAGUAAUCGCAGAUCAGCAACGCUGCGGUGAAUACGUUCCCGGG
rnacentral:rRNA from 1 species